rnacentral:rRNA from 1 species
AGACGUCUACAUUAGAUACCCGCGUAGUCCCAGCCGUAAACAAUGUGCGUUAGGUGUGUCGGUAACCACGUGUUACUGAUGCGCCGAAGAGAAAUCGUGAAACGCACCACCUGGGAAGUACGGUCGCAAGGCUGAAACUUAAAGGAAUUGGCGGGGAGCACCACAACAGGUGGAGCCUGCGGUUUAAUUGGAUUCAACGCUGGACAUCUCACCGGAUAAGACAGCUGAAUGAUUGUCAAUCUGAAGGUUUUACAUGACUAGCUG